GGCAGUUUCAGAGUGGAUACUGUUUGUAUUACAGCUCAGCCUGAUUCCUGUACCUAUGCCAGCAUCGUGUUUGACAGCAAUAGAAAAGUUCAAGGUGGCAAGACUCUCCGGGUUGCUGAUUCAGAAGAGACGGAUGUAACCUAUGCAGCUGUGGUGAAGACUCAUUAGGAGUGAAUAAGAACUGAACCUGUGUCACUGAGGUUGCAUUGUAUCUCAGAUCAAAUUCAAGGAACGUCAUGGAACUUACCAGCUCAGAAACUUGGCAUUAUUAUUCUUCAAAAUUGUUUUUAAAAUUUUUUUUAAAAUUUGUGCCUUUUUAUCUUAGUGUAUUUUUAAUUGUGGACUGAAACGCAUCAGAAUUGUUGAAAACCAAGGAUUGUUUAAGGGAUACUGCACACUUUUGAAAGCAAG